rnacentral:rRNA from 1 species
CAGUCGCCGCGGGAAUACGGAGGGGGCUAGCGUUGUUCGGAAUUACUGGGCGUAAAGCGCACGUAGGCGGCUUGGUAAGUUAGAGGUGAAAGCCCGGAGCUCAACUCCGGAAUUGCCUUUAAGACUGCCGAGCUAGUAGGUGAGAGAGGUAAGUGGAAUUCCGAGUGUAGAGGUGAAAUUCGUAGAUAUUCGGAAGAACACCAGUGGCGAAGGCGGCUUACUGGCUCAUUCUAGACGCUGAGGUGCGAAAGCGUGGGGAGCAAACAGGAUUAGAUACCCCCGUAGUCCCUGUCUCUUAUAC